rnacentral:rRNA from 1 species
GAUGAACGCUAGCGGGAGGCCUAACACAUGCAAGCCGAGCGGUAGAGAUUCUUCGGAAUCUUGAGAGCGGCGUACGGUGCGGAACACGUGUGCAACCUACCUUUAUCUGGAGGAUAGCCUUUCGAAAGGAAGAUUAAUACUCCAUAAUAUAUUGAUUGGCAUCAAUUGAUAUUGAAAGCUCCGGCGGAUAGAGAUGGGCACGCGCAAGAUUAGUUAGUUGGUGAGGUAACGGCUCACCAAGACGAUGAUCUUUAGGGGGCCUGAGAGGUGAUCCCCACACUGGUACUGAGACACGGACCAGACUCCUACGGGAGGCAGCAGUGAGGAAUAUUGGUCAAUGGGUGCAAGCCUGAAUCAGCCAUCCCGCGUGAAGGACGACUGCCCUAUGGGUUGUAAACUUCUUUGUAUAGGGAUAAACCUACCCUCGUAGAGGGUAGCUGAAGGUACUAUACGAAUAAGCACCGGCUAACUCCGUGCCAGCAGCCGCGGUAAU